CCCUCCCUCCCUGCUGCAUUUUGCAUGAGCUAUCUAGGUCAUUAGCAUUUUAGCGUAUGCAAGACUUGACAAAGCUGAUGAGGGGCCAGAUGGGCCUCGCUCUUAUGGUCUCUUCCACACACACCCUUCUGUUUUUUCUCUCUCUUUUUCUCUCUCUCUCUCUCUCUUCCUUUUCCUUUUCCCCUCCACCACUUGGGACCUGAGCGAGAGGACUGCAGCAGGCGAGUUCCGGAAGGCUGAUCUCCCGGAUCCCGGCCCCGGACGGCGGCCGUACCGCCUCUGCGGCACCGCACGCCCGGGUCGAGGCGCCUGCACCCGGCGCUCGAGGGCAAAGCCUGGAUUCGAAAGGAUGUGCGAGAACAAAGAGCCUCUGGAAGACGCCGCUGUUAGCUCAUUGUCUGUGCGAUUGGGGGAGCUGCGGUAGGGAGGAUGCUGUGGUCCUCUGCUCCCUGUUCUCCCCACCCCCACCCAGCCCUCUCCCCGCUGUCAGUGCGCACGCACCGCCACCGCUCUUUAUUAUCUUCCCCCACCCCACCCCCGUUUUCUCAUUCCAUCUUCUCCCCCGUCCUUUCUUGUCACCUUUCCUGCCUUCUGCCUUUUCUUCGUCCCUUCCUUCGCCAGGAGAAAGGCCUCUCUCUCCGUGUUCACAGCGGACCUUGAUUUAAAUGUCCAUACAAUUAAGGCACGCGGUGAAUGCCAAGAAUGGGGCUGGCUGAGCACCGUCGGUCCGCGAGGGCCCGCCGAGCGAGCGAGGAGUGACAGCCCAGCCUCGGCGCCCUCCGCAGAGCUCAGCGCUGCGGAUUCUGGGCAGGAGAAGUCGCUGGCUCCUACUGGCUGGGCUGCCCCACACAGGAGCCCUCGGGGUGGGGAGGUAUGGGCUCCUGAGAGACCGGGACUCAGAGAUGCAAACCGCCUCACGGAGGAUAACUGGAGCGGAUUCUGUGACAGAAGCACAGUUCUGUGUCUGCACAGAUGAUGGGGGGAGGGGGCGCCUCGUAACACACCAGGGCAUGAUUCUGUGUGCCUGUUUUUCUCUGGGUUCCGCGUGCAUUGUACAUGGGGCAUACAGACCUUCCUCAGUGGCUGCGUUUUUGUUCUGAGUUUAACUUUCGGUUUGCCCUUAAAAAAGAAAAAAAGAACCCUGCCCUGUAGAAGCCUGGACUAGAGGGGCUUGGAAGGGAGGGGCUAGCAGGGUGCCACCCUUUGCAGUAGAACUGUCAGGCUGAAGGCAGUCAUUUGGGAUGUGCACGGAAGAAGGUACUCACUCCAGGAGGAUUGACAAGCUCUGUCAGGGCUGAAGGCAUAGUGACAGCUCUUAGGGCCUCAAUGUGGCUGUUAUUGCUGGGUUAGGCAGAGAUCCAGGAUGCACCGAGGAAGGGAGAGACUCAAUUACCAGGUGUCCACACUGAAUGUGUGCAGUGUGGAGGGCUGAUGAAAGACUUGUAUCAGAGAGGCAGACAGGGUAUGAACGAUUAAGCCUUCCUCACCCUGAACAGCCUGUUCCCCCCCUCAUCACUAGUCCUAGAGCAGCAGCUGGCCCUAGAGGCCCCCCUGUGCCUCAGCGCAGUCACAUCCCAUCUCCAGUUCGGCAUGCACCUUCAGGCUGCAGUAGCUAGUGGCAAAACCAAAACCCAUUAAUUUUAGGUGGAACAAGUGGAGGAGGGGCAAGGGCUGGUUCUUCCUACCCAGGAAGCCUGCUGCAGCCCAUCCCCCACACAUGACAGAGGCCUGUCUUUUGAGGGAUGUUAGGCGGGUAGUCAAGGGCCUGUAGUCCCCUUUUGGUUUGAUUCUUAACACACUAAUCGGUCCUCAGAGUCUCAAAGCCAAUUUACCUAGGCCCUCUCCAAAGCCUCAAUCUAGUCCCCUGACUGAAUUAGCUUUCAGUGAUACUAUGGGCCAAUACCCCAUACCCACUCUCUUCCCUGGUCUCAUUUCCUUACAAAAGAUUGGGUACCUACUGUGUGCCAAUCUUUGAGUAAUUGUUUUAGCUUUCUUCGUUUGCACUCCAAAGGGAAGGUUUGGAGUCCCCAAAGGCAGAGCUUAACUGUGCCACACCCCACCUAGGCAGGCACUCCUAGAACCUUUAGGCCUACAGAAACGUACUGGGAACCUGUUCAUCCCUGCAGAGAAAAGGUUGCAGUGCACAUCAUCAGUUGUGUGAGCUGCAGGCACUAUACUUCCCUCAAUCCCGGAAGGCACGCUUGGCUAUAGGACAGAAAGGAAGAGCUGCUUCUCUGAACUCUUAACCUUAGCAAGGGUUGUCCUAAAAGCAGCCCUGGCAUUCAAAUACACCUCCUCCUGAGGGCCGGUGGACCCUCUGCCCUUUGGCUCUUCAGAUGGAUUCCUGAAAAGGAAAGCAGACUUGCUGUGGGGAGUGUGAAUCUUUCUACUCCCCCACCCUCACUAAGAAGGUGCUCUAGGCUUUGUCAGGCAUAGUGAAAGCUUCUAAUGACCAAAUUCUUCGCACCACAAUGGUCCACAUUAGCGAGCCUUUCUCAGUAAUUGCUUUUCUGCCAGACCUUGAUGUACCUUUCAGCUGAUCCGCCCUCCAAUAAAAUCUUCACGUGCUUCCCCAAGUCUUGUCCCUGUAAAGUGGACACUUAGCACCCUUCCCCUGAGAGCCUAAACCACAGGCACCUGUAGACAAGGCCUACCAUGUUCCUGCCACAAAUAACUGAUAAUGAGGGGGACAGGUUUUCUAUUUUGACUGCUUAUAUAAACUCUUGUUCCAGAACGCUUUGUUAGGGGAGCGCCCUGGAUUGCUGGGUCCAUGUGCUUCAGUAUGAAUACGUUCCUGUGUUUGCGAAUUCUGGUCGAAAAAGGUGUCUUCAUGUAGUGGGGGAUGAGGGAGGCGGCGCUUUCAGGACCAAGAAUGGUAGGGGUAUAAAAAGAUGAACGGACCACUCUGACCCUUGUAUGAUUUCAAGACCUUUUGUGUUCACCAAAGAUCACCUCUGAUCUUCCUGAUGUCUCUGUUGGGGAGUCUAUUGAUGUCCACCAGUAUUUGUGUAAGAAGUGUAUCGUUUUCUGCCCCUUCAAGGUAUUUUUUAACUCUUAACAUCAUCUUCCAUCUCUCAAAAUCACUCUAAUUACAUUCUAUGAUUUACAUGAGGGGGUGGGGAAACAUUUUUUUUUAAUGUAGGGUGCUUUAUGACAGCUGACUGAGUACACAAAGUGUACUCAUAGGAACAUUGGUUUCCAUGUACCACCAUCAUCGUGGUCAUGAUAUUUCUGAAGCUCCUGUAGCUCUCACGUGUUGGUUAGGGUGACUGUAUCAGAUACUUGAAGAUGUUUUUUUAAUGUAUCAAAGGAAAAAUCCAUAAUAUUCUUCUUUCCCCUGCCAGAGACAGUCCAGACAGAUCUCUGCUUAAGCAGAAGAGAAAUUGAUCCUUUAACAGGGACAAAGGUAAAUUCCUCUAAUUUACUUCUCUUACCACCAGGGCAGGGAGGGGGUCAUGGACACAUGGGGCUCCUUAGCCAGAGAAAUAAUACUUGGUGCACGAACACAUUCUCAGUAGGCAUAUGUCCAUACAUACAUACAUUUAUCACAUAACUAAAUCCAUUGCUGAUGCUAAUAUAGGAAGACACUGAAAUGCACACAAUCUACCCAUCUAUAGUCUACAGGGAAAUAAAUUUCUCUUUUCCCUGCAUUGAACCUUACAUAAUACUUACUCCACCACCCCACCCUUUUAUUCCAACCUCAGAAUAGAGUUCUCUGGGGGCAGCUGCAAAGCCUUCUCCCUGGGACAGAUGGAGCCUCCCUUCCUCAUCCACUCUGUGGGUGGUUUUAGAACCCUGUGAGUCAACAUAGGCUGACUGAGGGGUUGGGCUGGUUGUCUGUGUUGGGGGCUUGGUGGCUGGCUGAUUCACAGUGAUGAGUAUGUCAAUAAUAAUGAUGAUGAUAAUGAGAAUGAUAUCCUAAUAAAGAUUUGUUUUCUCUUAA